rnacentral:rRNA from 1 species
AUGCACGAAAGCGUGGGGAGCAAACAGGAUUAGAUACCCUGGUAGUCCACCCCCUAAACGAUGUCAACUAGCUGUUGGGGCCUUCGGGCCUUGGUAGCGCAGCUAACGCGUGAAGUUGACCGCCUGGGGAGUACGGUCGCAAGAUUAAAACUCAAAGGAAUUGACUGGGACCCGCACAAGCGGUGGAUGAUGUGGAUUAAUUCGAUGCAACGCGAAAAACCUUACCUACCCAUGACAUGUCUGGAAUUCCGAAGAGAUUUGGAAGUGCUCGCAAGAGAACCGGAACACAGGUGCUGCAUGGCUGUCGUCAGCUCGUGUCGUGACAUGUUGGGUUAAGUCCCGCAACGAGCGCAACCCUUGUCAUUAGUUGCUACGAAAGGGCACUCUAAUGAGACUGCCGGUGACAAACCGGAGGAAGGUGGGGAUGACGUCAAGUCCUCAUGGCCCUUAUGGGUAGGGCUUCACACGUCAUACAAUGGUCGGGACAGAGGGUCGCCAUCCCGCGAGGGGGAGCCAAUCCCAGGAACCCGAUCGUAGUCCGGAUCGCAGUCUGCAACUCGACUGCGUGAAGUCGGAAUCGCUAGUAAUCGCGGAUCAGCAUGUCGCGGUGAAUACGUUCCCGGGUCUUGUACACACCGCACGUCACACCAUGGGAGUGGGUUUUACCAGAAGUAGUUAGCCUAACCGUAAGGGGGGCGAUUACCACGGUAGGAUUCAUGACU